rnacentral:misc_RNA from 1 species
GAUGAAGAACGCAGCGAAAUGCGAUAAGUAAUGUGAAUUGCAGAAUUCAGUGAAUCAUCGAAUCUUUGAACGCAUCUUGCGCUCCUUGGUAUUCUGAGGAGCAUGCCUGUUUGAGUGUCAUUAAUAUAUCAACCUUCUCUUUUUUGAGUUGUUUGGAUGUGGGGGUUUGCUGGCCUCUUAAAUGAUUCAGCUCCCCUGAAAUGCAUUAGCAGAACAACCUGUUCAUUAGCGUGAUAAUUAUCUAUGCUAUUGAAUGUGAGGGCAGUUCAGCUUUCUAACCGUCCUUGGACAAUUCAUCAUUAAUGUGACCUCAAAUCAGGUAGGACUACCCGCUGAACUUAAGCAUAUCAAUAAGCGGAGGA